AUAUUAUAUACGUCUGGGUAAGAUGGUAAGUCUCAAACUGCACAGUAAAAUAAAUCUCACUUGAGUUAAUUCUUUAAACCAGGAAUUGUAUGAAUACAGUAUGAUACAGAUAACAGACAAUGAGUGGUGUUAGACGCUUCUCAAAGAAACACAAAUCUAAACCACAAAAAUAUCUGAAAUGUGAGAUAUGAUGAAAGUCUAUUAAUUUUACGCAAAGAUUCUUUCUAAUCUUUUUUUUUUUCUGCUUUGGUUCCUUUAGAUGUUUAUUCGCCAUUGUCAGGCACUGAUCAAUCAUCUUUUAAAGCAUGC